GUCACUUCUUAGCCUUUUGGCUAAGAUCAAGUGUAGUAUCUGUUAUCAUCAGUAUAAACAGAGCCAAGUGCUAACACAGGCCCACCCAUAAUCCCAGUACUCAGGAGGCUGAGGCAGGAGGAUUGCUGAGUUUGAGGCCAGCCUAGGCCUGUGGUGCUCUGUCAUAGGACAGGCAGCAGCCCCA